UCAGCCGCAAUUUAUCCUAAUCUGACCCUUCGCCUCUUACUCCCCUCCCAACAAUCUCACCUGCCGCCGCCCAACUCAGUUGCUUGAUUUGGUUGCGUUCGCCUCCUUCGUCCCUUGCUUCCUUCUUCGUCCGACUCCGCCCACCGGGGAGGGUGCGUCACAAUCAUAACCACGCCCCCAACAGAAUACGAAUUCGUUGUAGGAUCCACCCGUGAGUUUAUUAGGGCAUGCUGGGAUUUGUAGUUUUUUAAAUUAAAAAUGUUCUUUAGGCCCAGUGGAGAACGGGAAAACUUGUCAUAUCUAGUUUUAGCUAGAAGAAUUUCCUGUCUUGUAUUGGAUGGUGUGUGCGCGUGUUUUAAAUCUCAGAAAGCAGCAGGCAGCAUUAACCUCGUACCGUGCCGUGAUUAAUAGAAUUUGGAGUACACUGUAAUCUGACUGGAGGAAGUGGAUAACCACGUCUGCCCUAAAUGCGAGAUUAAUAGUACAUUCUGCUCCGUUAGCUGGCAUUUGGUAAAAAAAAAUUACCGGAUUGGCUUGAUCAGAAAUUCGCUGAGCCUUGACUGGAAGAAACGGGUACACCCUUCUACUAUCACAAUGGGAUUAGUCUGUGAUGGAAAGGAUUCUGCUCAUCCUUUUAUUCGAUUGGGCAAUUUAAAGAAACUACUACUGGAGAUGCUUCCAGGUGAUCAAAAAGAGGGCAGCCUUUCUCCCCUCCACUGCCUUGAGGUGUACGAGAAUAGACCAAGGGAGACCACUCUUAUCUUGGACUGGGCUGGGAAGAGACACAGAGGCUUGAAUCCAAAGGGAAGCAAGAAGCAUUAUUAGAGUUUCAAGACACAAAGACCCAACAAAGAGAAGCUUGGAGUGCUGAUUUGGCUCCUGGGCCUGAUGUUCCCUACACUUGCUAUUAAAAAAGCAGUACUUCUCGUUCAGACAUUGGCAGCAGCUGAUCUCCAGCCUCUGCCUUUCCAUCCAAGAAUAUGUGAGAUGGGUCCUCCUACUGGGGUACAAGCAGGUUAAGUUGGGAAGGAAAGAGACUGGGAUUUCCCACACAGAAACACAUGCAAGGAGGGGAUUACGAGAUCUGCAGUGGAAUUGACUGGCCAAAAUGUUGCUUGCAGACCUCUACAAAAGCAGGAAUGGAAGAGUUUACAAGAGUGCAAUCACAGUCUUGGCCACUAAUUGUGGAUCCCAAGGGAUGAGCCAGUUGGCUUUUCAUUUGAAACAACAAUUAACGCUCAGCCAUUGUGCUCAUUGUUUAUUGGAGAUGCCAUUGAGCAACAAGGGUUCUGAAAAACGAAUUUUCGCUUUGAUUCCCCUUCACAACAAUGUAUGAAGAAAUAUGAACCCUCACCCUUUCACAUUUCAAGCACCAAAAUUGUCUUUCAGUAAACAGCAACUUGGCAUGUUUCAGUUUUACCAAAAAAGAUUGAAAAGGACUCAAUCUUUUUAUAAAAAAGGAUUGACCUUAAUCCCCCUCCCACUGUAUGUCAGUGUUCAUGGUGGCAGAGGUCUUACACCUGAGCCAUAUAAACUAUUAGAGAAAAGGAGUGGUGCCUUUAACACAGGGACGAGGAACCUAUGGCCCACCAAAC